rnacentral:rRNA from 1 species
GUGGGGAAUAUUCCGCAAUGGACGAAAGUCUGACGGAGCAACGCCGCGUGAGUGAUGAAGGUUUUCGGACUGUAAAGCUCUGUUGUUUAGGACGAAAGUGCCUGUUGCAAAUAGUUACAGGUAUUGACGGUACUGAACGAGGAAGCCACGGCUAACUACGUGCCAGCAGCCGCGGUAAUACGUAGGUGGCAAGCGUUGUCCGGAAUUAUUGGGCGUAAAGAGCAUGUAGGCGGGAAUCUAAGUCUGUUGUGAAAAUGCGGGGCUCAACCCCGUAUUGCGAUGGAAGCUGGGUUUCUUGAGUGCAGGAGAGGAAAGGGGAAUUCCCAGUGUAGCGGUGAAAUGCGUAGAUAUUGGGAGGAACACCAGUGGCGAAGGCGCCUUUCUGGACUGUGUCUGACGCUGAGAUGCGAAAGCCAGGGUAGCGAACGGGAUUAGAUACCCGAGUAGUCC